CAAUGAAAAUGGGUGUUUGACAUCUUCCCAGAAGCGGCACAAAAAGACAGCAAAAUCAGGCUGGUAAAAUGCUGAAUAAACAAAUGAAAGCGUUUGGUCUGAAUGUGAAUGACUCGAAGGGAGAAGGGGCCCGAGGAGACCUCCUCCGGGGAACGAUGGACAUCUCAGAAUUGAAGUUAAGGCUAUAGGUGGGAGGCGGGCGCCACCGUGCACAGGGGUGAGGGAGUUGUCUUAGCAAAAUCUGUCAUGCGGGCCUCUGGGGACUGUCAGGAGAGGAUCUGUGUCACCUGCCGAUUCUACCUCACUUCAGUCCAUGCCAGGUGGCGAGAGCGCAGGUGUGAGAAGAUAGGCCGGCCAAAGAAACCAGGAGGUUGCGGGGAGCCCGAGCCACAGGUGGGGGCCACUGUUAAGGCCAGGGAGGUUCCUCCUACCGCCAGCUUCCUGCGGCGACCCCCCAGUCCAGGUGGACCGGCCAACCACUAGCCACACAGGCUCGAGGCACGGGCCACGCCGUGUGCGGGGAACUGAACCACAGGCGGCUAACGCUAGCGCACAGCCCCAAGUCGACCAAUUGCCAGUGCGUGGGGCACUCACUACGGAGCCCAAGGCUCUGCCACAUUCAGCCACUGUCCUGGGCCCCUGGCCCUCGGUGGCAGCGUUUGUGAGGGUUCUCCAAACCAGCGAGCCCUCUCGAAAGAGUUUUGUUUAAAUAUGAAAGAGACUUAGUCCCAAGACAGUGGACACCGACGCUGCACAUGGAUGUAAUUCCCUCGUCUUCCAUUAAGCUCCAGAGGCCCUGUCGUUCUGCCUACUUCUGAAUUUUCACUUUUAUUCACUGUAAGUCUAAUCUAAAGUGUACCGUAUGCUUUUUUGCAGCCAAAGUUAUUAAUAUUUGCAGUUAGGGUUGUGGAGAAUGUGAAUCAAAAUAAUAAACAAGAAGAGAAAUAUUUUCGUGAAUUUGGGAGUUUGUACUGCUUGGGGUCGUGAACUCUGUUACUGCUACUUGACAAUCCAGAAGGCUCCUUGUGCACACAGGAUUCAGGCUGCUUCCCCAACAGUCCCCAGGGAUGUGUGUGGCUGCGGUCUACACCCAGAGAAGCUGACUGGUCCCAGAUCUCAGGUCAGUAAGUUGCAAGAACCCAGGAAAAAACUAUGAUCAGCCAUGCUUCUGCAAAGGAACAGAUCUCCAGAUUCCCACUUCUAUGGUUAGGAUGCACUCUAAAUUCAAAAUUACCUAACAGAAUGGAGGAUGUGAAAGGUAAAGAUGAACUAAAACACCACUCUUUAGAAUCGGAAUCUUGGGGGAAAUCCCACAACUAGACAUACUUGAACUUGUCCCUUUUUGUUGGUUGGUUUCAAAUGUUUAAAAUCUUCUUGAAGUUUGACUUGAUAGCAAUUUCAGCCUGGUCUGACCUCCAAUACCUGUUGGGUGACAUCGUGUGGCACCGCCUGGCAUUUUUACACAAGGAGAGCCUUCGGAAAUCUAAAGAUUUUAGAAGCAGCAGCUCCUUCUUAAGGCUGGUAGAUAAAUUAGUUGAGACUUUGCCGCAUCGUAGGGGAGCUUAUGACUCUGCCUUAGGCUUGCGGGAGGGAAUGAACAUGCCCGGCAACUUGACCAGGAAGGAAUCCUCCUCCCCCCUCACAGACAGGCAGUGAGUAUCGACCUCUGCGCCAAAUCUGCUCUACUUCCGUGCACCCAGGGAAAAUUUGCAGUCUGCAGGGCUGCUAGGCGGGUACAAGGAUGUUCGCAUACGAACAGGCAAGACCUCAUGUCCCGCGGGGGGUCUGGGGACUCUGCGAGAGCUUUAGCAGUUCUGCAGCACCAGCCUAGACUGGUUCAGAAACUGAUAUGGUUUAGAGCUCUGGUUAUAUGGAGGUAACAUACAACUCCCUCUUGUUCCUACCAACUCCUUCAGCUGCCACACAUCUUCCCAGUUCUCACAUAGGUUCAAUGCCAUCUCUCCCUUUCCACCUGCUGAACUUGGCUGUGACCAUGUGGCCUCAGCUGCUGCGGAUCCCCUGGGCGUGCCAGGGGUAGCAACUCAGUGGGCAGGGGGCCUGUCCGCAGCUCUGGCGGCUCCCCGCAGGCCCCACUCAUGCCGGCGGUUGCAGGUACUGGGUGCUCUUGGCAUUCUCAAGAGCGCAGGAAGAGUCAAUUUUAGGUGUUUUGGGCCACUAAGUAUCCGCGGCAAGCCGAAGACCCCGCUCUGGGAGCAAGAGAAGCCGAAGCUGCAGACAGGGUCAGCGGGAUCCCAGCAGAAGAGGGUGAUGCUGAAGCCUUCCCGGGGCGCGGACCGAGUGCUAGGGCGAGGUAGUCAGCGACCCGCUGAGACCGACCGAGAGACGACGGAUCUGAGGCAGAGAAAGAGGAUGAAGGAAGGAAAAGAGAGAACACUAAGGUCUGGUCAGUCCCGAUGAAUGUAAGGAUGCAGGACCUAGAACAAGAACAAGGGUCAGCUGGAGUCUGCCGCCUGGUUACACUGCUCACUCUGGACUCAGAAGAUCUCAAAGAGAUCGGAAGAAUUUCGACUAAAAGGAGAAAUUUAAGACCAAAACCAAAACACCAGUAAGGCCUGCAGCUGGCUCAGGCCAGGGAGAAGCCAAAAAGCCUUUCCCUAGCCGCGUCGAGGCCUCCUCCGAGGGGCGACUCGCUCUCUGGAUAAAUAUUUACUCAGUGGGAGACUGGAAGCCGGGCCGAGAGUGUGAAGGAGGGGGCUACACUGGGUGGGAGGAACCAGUACACUCGGCGCUGGCCGGAUCCUUGUGUACACCCGCCCAAGGGGAGCAGGGGCCGGGGACUCUGGGGGCGACUCGGCCCAGGCGUGUGGCUGGGGAAGCUUUAGACCCCAGCAUCGGAUCGACCGGACUCCGCCCUGCCCUCGCGGACCCCAGCCAGAUGCUGUGAAGUCUCCAUAAAUCUGUCAGCCGUCCCAGUGCCGCGGGCAGUCACCUGCGGCGCCCCCUUCCCGGCGCUAGAGCGGCCCGCGGAGAGACGCGGAGAAGCAACGGGAAUCUAGCCCGGCAGACUGUACCCGAGGGCUGCCGAAGUCAGACCCAAGCACUACAGGUUGUGCGGAACGCGAGGACCCCUCCCUGUAUCCCCAACCUGGACCGACCCCCGGAAGCCUGCUCCUCCGGGUCUACAGGGUAAGCGGCCAGCUGAGUUUCCCUGAAACUGCAGCGGCAAGUGACAGCCAGAAGCUCGCCCCGCGCCCAGGGCGAGGGAGGGUCCGCCCUGGACCGCUGGCCCCUGCAGGAUCUGCGCUGCGGGAGGGGAUGGCGGCUAAAAGGAGCAGUCGCGGGGAUUGGGGAUGGAGACAGCCCUCAGGGGUCCUCUGGUGGGAGAGGAGGACAGGAGGCGCCCGCACACUGAC
rnacentral:lncRNA from 1 species